GACGAACGCUGGCGGCGUGCUUCAUACAUGCAAGUCGAACGAGAAAUUCACUUCGGUGGAUGGAAAGUGGCGGACGGGUGAGUAAUAUGUAGAGAAUCUGCCCUAGAGAGGGGACAACAGAGGGAAACUUCUGCUAAUACCCCAUAUGAGCGUAUCUGAAAUGAUAUUCUUGAAAACUCCGGUGCUCUAGGAUGAGUCUGCAUCUGAUUAGCUAGUUGGGGGUGUAAUGGACCACCAAGGCGACGAUCAGUAGCUGGUUUGAGAGGAUGAUCAGCCACAAUGGGACUGAGACACGGCCCAUACUCCUACGGGAGGCAGCAGUAGGGAAUAUUGGGCAAUGGGGGAAACCCGUGACCCAGCAACGCCGCGUGGAGGAAGAAGGUUUUCGGAUCGUAAACUCCUGUCCUCAGGGAAGAGCAGAAGACGGUACCUGAGGAGGAAGCCCCGGCUAACUACGUG
rnacentral:rRNA from 1 species